rnacentral:lncRNA from 1 species
AAAAAAAAAACGAAAAAAAAAAGUUAAAAAUAAAUAAAUAAAUAAAAUUAAAUAAAUAAAUAAAUAAAAUAUAACAAAUUUUUUUGGACUUGGGUCUCCAUCAUUUGAGCCCACUACCCACGAAAAUCAGUCUAUAAAUACUGAAGUUUCAGUAGAGGAAAACACUUGGAGUUACACUGGGAGAUUCACUGGAGAAAGAUUUUGAGAGAAGGAAACCUAGGAACUACUAUGCAGUGACCUUCAGGCAGCCCUGAGAAGUUCACUCCGCCUCACACAAACCCUAGUAUUACUUUGCAGAUUCGGCCGUACCAUUCAAUCUCAAUCAAUCUCUCCAAUCAGGUUUG